GGUUCCAUAGUGUAGUGGUUAGCACAUCUGCUUUAUAUGCAGAAGGUCCUGGCUUCACACCCCAGUGGAGCCA
rnacentral:tRNA from 1 species